CAUGAUGCUUUUUAACGGUGAAGAAGAGAGGACUGUCGGUGGGUUUUGUUUUCCUCUCCUCGAUGACUAUUAUUGACUUGGAGCAGAUGGAAAUGCUUAGCUUUAUCGUGACUGAAGGUCAACGUGUCCGUCUAGGGUAAGUGUAGACAGAUUACAAAGAACUUGCUGCAGCCGGCGCUGGAACGGAUGGCCUGUUCAUUUGGUUUUAUUUUAUAAUAUUGUUCAAAUUAAAGGUAAAUACUCGAAUUGAAUUGGAAUUAGAUUACCUUUCUUUGACAUCGUUGUAGUUCUCUAGUUGUUGUGGACAGACCUUCAAGAUGGUUGAAUCAUGUAGAAUGAAACGAGCUCAACCAAGUUAUCUCAAAAGCCCAGCAAAUACGCUGCAUAGCAACCAUGUUCAAGGGAGGAUCUCUAGACGUUCUGAUACUACUAUACUAGCCCUACGGCAUGCACUAUCAUCAUGACAUAAAAUUCUGUACAUGCCAUUAUAUAUAUAUAUAUAUAUGGUCUCUGUUGUUAAAA